rnacentral:rRNA from 1 species
UACAGAGGGUGCAAGCGUUGCUCGGAAUCAUUGGGCGUAAAGGGUAGGUAGGUGGUCUCGUUUGUCUGGGGUGAAAGCCCAGGGCUUAACCCUGGAAGUGCCCCGGAAACGGCGAGACUAGAGUUCUGGAGAGGGUCGUGGAAUUCCUGGUGUAGCGGUGAAAUGCGCAGAUAUCAGGAGGAACACCGAUGGCGAAGGCAGGUCUCUGGGCAUUAACUGACGCUGAGGAGCGAAAGCAUGGGGAGCGAACAGG